AACGAACGCUGGCGGCGUGCCUAACACAUGCAAGUCGAACGGGAAAACCCGCAAGGGUGAGUACAGUGGCGCACGGGUGCGUAACACGUGGGUAAUCUGCCCAGAAGCCCGGAAUAACUCCCCGAAAGGGGUGCUAAUGCCGGAUGAGACCACGGGGACUUCGGUUCCUGGGGGAAAAGGUGGCCUCUGUAUACAAGCUAUCACUUCUGGAUGAGCCCGCGGCCCAUCAGCUAGUUGGCGGGGUAAUGGCCCACCAAGGCUACGACGGGUAGCUGGUCUGAGAGGACGAUCAGCCACACUGGAACUGAGACACGGUCCAGACUCCUACGGGAGGCAGCAGUGGGGAAUCUUGCGCAAUGGGCGAAAGCCUGACGCAGCAACGCCGCGUGUGUGAUGAAGGUCUUCGGAUCGUAAAGCACUGUCGGGAGGGACGAAUAAGGGCCGGGUGAACAAUCCGGUCCGACGACGGUACCUCCAGAGGAAGCACCGGCUAACUCUGUGCCAGCCGCCGCCGUAA
rnacentral:rRNA from 1 species